UGCAACUGAUGAUGCAAAAGUUGUCCAAAAUUCUGACUGAACUGUGAUUAUUAUACAAAAUAUCACCAUCUUUCGGCUGAAGUUGCA